rnacentral:rRNA from 1 species
AUAUUAAUAAGCGGGGGAAAAGAAAUCAACAGAGAUUGCCUCAGUAGUGGCGAACGAACAGGCAAGAGUCCAAGCUGUAAAUCUCCAACCCACGGUUGGCGAGUUGUAAGCUCAAGAUUGUGUUCUAAAGGGGACCUAAGCGCAUAACUCCCGUGGAAAAGGGGGGCAGAGAGGGUGAAACCCCCGUAUUUGGCGCAAGGGAAACUGAAAGACUAUAUCAUAGAGUCGGGUAGCUUGGGAUUGCUGCCUUAAUCGGGUGAUAUACUUCAUCUAAGACUAAAUAUGGAUGGGAGACCGAUAGCGCACAAGUA